rnacentral:rRNA from 1 species
AACGAACGCUGGCGGCAUGUCUAACACAUGCAAGUCGAACGAGACCUUCGGGUCUAGUGGCGCACGGGUGCGUAACGCGUGGGAACCUGCCCUUAGGUUCGGAAUAACUCCCCGAAAGGGGUGCUAAUACCGGAUAAUGUCUUCGGACCAAAGAUUUAUCGCCUUUGGAUGGGCCCGCGUUGGAUUAGCUAGUUGGUAGGGUAAAAGCCUACCAAGGCGACGAUCCAUAGCUGGUCUGAGAGGAUGAUCAGCCACACUGGGACUGAGACACGGCCCAGACUCCUACGGGAGGCAGCAGUGGGGAAUAUUGGACAAUGGGCGAAAGCCUGAUCCAGCAAUGCCGCGUGAGUGAUGAAGGCCUUAGGUUUGUAAAGCUCUUUUACCCGGGAUGAUAAUGACAGUACCGGGAGAAUAAGCUCCGGCUAACUCCGUG